AACACUGUUUGUGGCUAGGCUUAAUUAUGAGACAACUGAACGCAGAAUCAAAAGGGUGUUUGAGGCAAGCGGGUAGGUAUUAAAGAGCACCGAGAGUGUGCUCUGGUUAUUGGCUUUUGGUUUGGUAAGAAAUUCACCAUAAUGGUGAAUUGCAAAUCCCUCACCUCUUCGGGUCACCCAUCACCGACCCUUAGUCACUUCCCUCACUGCUCCCCAAACAAUAGGAAAAAUAAUAGGGGAACAAAAGAAAAGAAGC
rnacentral:lncRNA from 1 species